rnacentral:rRNA from 1 species
AUCGUACGGGAGGCAGCAGUGAGGAAUAUUGGUCAAUGGGCGAGAGCCUGAACCAGCCAAGUAGCGUGCAGGAUGACGGCCCUAUGGGUUGUAAACUGCUUUUAUGCGGGGAUAAAGUGAGGGACGUGUCCUUCAUUGCAGGUACCGCAUGAAUAAGGACCGGCUAAUUCCGUGCCAGCAGCCGCGGUAAUCGAU